CUUUUCAGACCACAAGUGGGCUUGGGCUAGAAAGGAGGAGAAAAGGAAGGAAAACCACUGCAGGAGGAAUCUUUGCAAGGGAUGUCAGGAAUACAUAAACUAAAGCAGAAUGAAAGGAGAAAAUGGAAGGAUAAACAAGAGAGAGAAAUUAAUGAUAAGUAGGAGCUGCUGUCCUAACUGAGGUCCUCUCCAUUGCCACACUGUGUGGAGGGGAUAUUAAAUAUGCAAG